rnacentral:misc_RNA from 1 species
AUACAAACAAGUGAGCUCUUUUGAGUACCGAGUUCAAUACAUCCAUGACAAGUCUUGCCGGAAUGAUACAGAUCUUGCUGCUCCUUGAACACCCCUUUCAGAAAUUUGUGGACAAUCUUCCACAGUCAAGAUUUCCAACUUGCAUGACUCAACAAGAGGCUUUAAACCAUCAUCAGUAAUUCCCAAACACUUUCUUAACCGUAAUAUGCAUAAGCAAGGAAACUGGCUCACAAGCUGCAGCCCCUCAUCACUGAUUUCUUGGCAUCUGACAAGCUCCAAA